ensembl:lncRNA
AACGGAGGAGCCCAGAGCCUCAGCCCAGGGAGGGUUGCUGUUUAAACAUUGGCCAAUUUACCAAGGAUUUCAGAUAUUUGCUGGACAUUUUAAGGGGUUAACCUGAUCACAGACAGCACACCCAAAGAAAUGAGGAAACCGGGAUGAGAUUCCAUUUUGCCCAAAGACAUCCAGCCAGAAAUUAGAGGAGCUGGAGCUUGGACCCAGGUCUGACUCCAGGAAAAAUUCUCCCCUGGAGGGGUGGCUCAGAAACCAUUCUAAACACAGCAAGUAAAACAAGUGAGGCCCAGAGAAGGGGAGAGACUUAUGCAAGGAUGACACAGGGAGUGAAAGGCAGAGCUGAGAAAAUCCCUUCCUCCAGCUGGACGUGUGUGGCUGAUCCCAAGUGGCAGAAGGGUCAGGUUCAGGAUUCUUACUUUCAAAAAUAGGGAAAAGAUGUUUGCACCAUGACUGAGCAUUUUCUACGUACCAAGGCUCCUUUACCAUCAUUCCAUCUAAUCACAACAAGUGCGUCAUGAAGAAGAGACGACCACCUCUACCUUACAGAUCAGGAAAAUCAGGUUCACCAGAAAGAAACAGAAAUUUUGCCACCUCCUGUAUCUCCCCUUCCAUUGGAACGUUUCUUCGAUGGAAUCCAGAAGUUCCUUUAUAGUUGUGUUCUCAGGGCUUGGUGAUGCCGUCUUCCCAACUGAAGGCUUUCAGAAAUUAUAAGGAGCAGUUAGCUUUAUCAUGCUGGUGGAAUUUGCCCUCCUUGGGGCUUUUGUCUCCUCAAUAAAAAAUGUCACCUCAUGCUUGAGACCCAGGUUUGACCCCUAGUUCAGAAAGAUCCCCUGGAGAAGGGAAUGGCGACCCAUUCCAGUAGUCUUGCCUGGAGAAUUCCAAGGAUGGAGGAGCCUGGCGGGUUAUAGUCCAUGGGGAUCGCAAAGAGUCAGACCCGACUGAGUAGCUAACCCUUUCACUUUCAUGCUUGAAGAGCACCCCUCUCCCUAAUGUGCCCAAGCAACCUUCAGGAUGCUCUGCUGCCACCUGGACACUAACCCGGAAAGGGGAGAAGACUCAACUCCUUAGCAGCAUUCCUUCCAUUUAGACCAGUGGACCUCAUCUUGGCUCUGUAAUAUAUGAAGAU